rnacentral:rRNA from 1 species
UACGUAGGGUGCGAGCGUUAAUCGGAAUUACUGGGCGUAAAGCGUGCGCAGGCGGUUCGUUGUGUCUGAUGUGAAAGCCCCGGGCUCAACCUGGGAAUUGCGAUGAAGACUGCAAGGCUUGAAUCUGGCAGAGGGGGGUAGAAUUCCACGUGUAGCAGUGAAAUGCGUAGAGAUGUGGAGGAACACCGAUGGCGAAGGCAGCCCCCUGGGUCAAGAUUGACGCUCAUGCACGAAAGCGUGGGGAGCAAACAGG